rnacentral:lncRNA from 1 species
CCAUCAGGAAACUCAGAAACUCCCAAGACUGAGCUGGGGCUGGGACUCAGCCACACUCCAGGACCACGGACUCCCUUUAAGAGGACACUGGACAUCGUAGAGCCCUCAGCAUCAAAGGUCAUGGUCAUCUCCAGCAGACCCCCUUACUGCCACCAAACCCUAAAGUCAAACAGGAUGAACAACCAACUCUGCUUGCUGUGAUUUCACAAGGCUCCUGGUCCACAGAGGAAAUCCCUACCUGACCCGUCGAUCAGCCCGAAACUUCAACAUCUUUUUUGGAAGCUCAGUCCCCAGUUCGGCAGCCUCCGAGGAGCCACCAGCCACCCUGCUGCUACCAUCCCUCUGAGAAGUAAGUCCUUGGAUCCAGUUCUCAAUGCUGUGGCAGAGACGCAGGGUGAGCUGGGGCAGACUCCAUGGGUUGCCCUUUCUUCCUGGCUCUAGCAAUGGAGAACAGGGACAGGGUUCUCUCUGGGCAAUGGGAGGGGUAGCCCAGGUGCCCUAGGGGGCCUGUGGCUUUAACUUCCUAGCAUUCGCCUGUGAUGCUACAGUUAGAGGUCUUGGAGGCAGAAUAAAUGAAGAGAGGACCUCCUCCCAGUUCAGGUUCACAAGACAGAAAUGCAGAAAUGGAGAGAGGCUUGCACAGAGCAGGUGUACUGCUUCCAGGUAGUCCGACCUCACUGUGCUAAGGACACUGAGCAGCUGGGCGAGCGGAGGAACACGGGCUGCAUUCCCAUCUGCACGGAGACUCAUGCCAGCCCGACCUGCAGGGAGAAAGUGCUCCGGCCUCUCCAGCUUCCAGCCCAGACACAGGCUCUGGAGCUGCAAACCUACUUGCUUCUCAGAGACCUUCCAAGCCCUUCUGAGGGUUAAAGGAAGCUUCAGGUUCAUUGGCUGUUACUGUUGCUGUGAAGCUGAAGAGAAUUGAAGAAGUCUCCGUUCUCCUCUCUCAGCCUGCCCAGCUCUCAUCUAUACAGACCGGAGCAUAAUAAAAAAAACAAAGCGGCUCUGCAAUUGGCCUGACCCACUCGCCUCUCCAGCAGCAUGGCUCGCUUGCCCUCCAAACGUGCUGGUCCAGCUGGUCAGAAGCUAGACAUACACAGCCCAAGUGGAUGGCCGGGAUGUUAGUGGAGUCCCAGAUGAAAUGGAAGAAAGCCUUCCUCUCGAGGCUGGUGAGGAGAGGGUAGGGAAUGGGGUGUGUGGGUGGGGGGUCAUUGUGUAUCCAUUGCUGCAAAUCUUCCCAGAUGCAAGAUGAUAAAUUCCAGCUGGUAACUGUCAGAUCUGCUCGGGCCGCUGGGAGAUUGCAUGGAUGUUAAUUCCCCCGAAUUUUCCAUAGGUCAAGGCUAGUCAAAGCUCUUUCUCACUGUCCUCUGUGCUUUAGGAUUCUUGCAAGGCCUUUUGAAGGUCACCUCUUUAUCCCCCUGCCUCCAGACAAGCUCUUAUCAAGUCCUUUGGAGGUUUGUAAAGGAUUCCAGCAAAGGAGCAGCCAGGCUCAAUGUCAUCUUAAACAGCCAAGGUACUCUGAUGUCAAGUUUCAGCUCCUCUGCUCUGUCUCUCUGCUUCUGUUCAUACGACAGGUUCCUUUCUAACCAAGGUGCUGCUUUUUGCAGCACCGGGCCUUCUGUUGACCUCAUAGUCUGUUGUUAUGGCAACUCUGUGAUAUCACAGUAGACACUCCAAAGGGCGGGACUGAUCUAAUUUUUGGACUGAGGUCAGAGGAACAAUGAGAACAGUAAACAGAAAAACAAAUGGACAACAUUUUUAACCCCUGCAGAGACAAGCUGGCCAGGUGUAACUGGGGUCACAGCUGUUGAUAUUUAAACAGCUAAUCCGAAAUCCAAAAGGUCAAUAUAUCCAGCCAUUCAGGGGGACUUUGGUAAAUGAUUUAUCUUGGUGGCAGGAGGCCUUAGAUGUGGGGUUAAAUCUGUCUCCAGUUCCUUGAGCCUGAACCUUUCCAGACACCUCCUUGAGUUCCCUGUCUGCCUAUCACAGGUAUUCAAUAAAGUUUUGUUGAAUGUACAAACGAAC